rnacentral:lncRNA from 1 species
UUUGUUUUGAGAAUAACUCUGUUAUUACAGUAAACUUUUAUCACUGGUUUGUGUUGAUUUCUCUUGUAUCACAAAUUGUUGCAACUAUUAUAGUAAUAUGGAUAUUCUGAAAUUGAUUCCAUUUGGUAGUUGGUUUGAAUACGACUUUGGCCUCAUUGUUCUCUACUGAUUUCAUAUUGUAUUUUAGUUUGUAGAUUAUCUUACCAAGUUGUGUGUUGUAACUAACUCUAGAAGGGUUUUGCUGUUAUGAUAAUUUGUGAGCAUUAUAACAUAUUGAAUUGCAACUUAUAUUUGGCACGUCCAGUUGGUUUUCCGUUUGGCAAAGUGUUAUAUUGUUCUUAUGGGCAAGGCUUUUGUAUUGUUAUAUCCAACAGGUUUGUUGAUGUUAUUCUCUUUACGUCCUGUUAAUCGUAUCAUGUUGAUUUUGUGGGCAUAUUGAACUUCAUGAUGUGUUAUGUCGGGGUAAUUUAGUAUUGAUUACAAUGGAUUGGUUACAGGUUUAAUGAUAUUAUCUUCUUGCUGCGGAAUUAAAAUGGUUUGGCAUCGCGUAUAACAGUUUAUGUUAUGUUUUCCUGGAUGUUAUGCUGUUUGUUAUAACCACUGUUUUGGUUUUGAUUCGGUUGCAGUAAUCUAUGCUGAUGGGUAUGUUGUAAUAUUCUUUUCCGGGGUGUUUUCAAUGUGAUCGUGUUGUUGUUGUGUGCUUAAGUUGUCGCGUUUAAAUUCAAAUAUCAUUCGCAGCUUCGACGCGUAAAUGUUUCGAUUAUAUUUCUGUUUCAAUUGCAUAUUUACUUCCUUUCCGAUUGGGU